rnacentral:rRNA from 1 species
CCAGAGAACUUAGCAGAGAUGCUUUGGUGGCCUUCGGGAACUCUGAGGCAGGUGCUGCAUGGCUGUCGUCAGCUCGUGUUGUGAAAUGUUGGGUUAAGUCCCGCAACGAGCGCAACCCUUAUCCUUUGUUGCCAGCGGCUCGGCCGGGAACUCAAAGGAGACUGCCGGUGAUAAACCGGAGGAAGUGGGGAUGACGUCAAGUCAUCAUGGCCCUUACGGCCAGGGCUACACACGUGCUACAAUGGCGCAUACAAAGAGAAGCGACCUCGCGAGAGCAAGCGGACCUCAUAAAGUGCGUCGUAGUCCGGAUUGGAGUCUGCAACUCGACUCCAUGAAGUCGGAAUCGCUAGUAAUCGUAGAUCAGAAUGCUACGGUGAAUACGUUCCCGGGCCUUGUACACACCGCCCGUCACACCAUGGGAGUGGGUUGCAAAAGAAGUAGGUAGCUUAACCUUCGGGAGGGCGCUUACCACUUUGUGAUUCAUGACUGGGGUGAAGUCGUAACAAGGUAGGCGUAGCGAG